rnacentral:lncRNA from 1 species
CAACUUGAUUUAUCUCCUGCAUCCAGCAACUGGAUUCUCUGGUUCCAGAACAGUUACUUUCAAAAUAUCCCAAGGAACAGCUGAAACUAUAGCCCUUAUGUGAAAAGGACAAAAGAAACAGUAAAAUGCUUUUUCCUCAGAAGCCAAACAACUGAGCAGCUGUGAUGUCUGUAUUGAAUCACAAUCCAAAUAACUCUUACUCAGUAAAUUAUUUGUAGCUCUGAUAAUUCACUGGCUCCGUAAGGUUGAAGGAUUGUGUCCUAGAAUCCUAUGGAAAGUCAGUGCUGUUAUCAGAAGUCAAGUGCCUUCUCCUCCCAUGUCAGUCACAGCCUCCAAGAAACUCCUUCCUCAGGCGGUUUGCCAUCCAGGGGUGGGACCCCCAGGAGGACAGUGACUGCCACCAGCUGCUUUGGGUCUGCUCAGAACACAGCAGGCAGGAUUAUAAAUAUCCACCACAGGCUGCACGGGCUGUUCCCAAGAUCAGCAUCAACCAUCACUGCCCCUGCACUUUCUGGAAAGCACUGCCAGCAUUUCACUGGCCAGUGGGUGUCUGGAAAGGAGGAGUGGGCAGGCACAGCAGUGCUGGAUUCCUGGAACAGCAACUGAACAUAAGAGAAGAAGGCAGGCUCAUAACAUGUCCAUACAAAGAAACUUCAGUAUGGCUCAAUCCAAGAAUAUCCAUGUAUGUGUUUGGCAGCCUAUUUUUAUUGCCAACAAAUAGAAAUGGAUUGCUUUUUUGGUAUCAGUACCACUUCUAAAAAAUGUUCACAAUUAAAUGGCAAUACAGGAGGAAAGUAAUUGUAUUUUUUAAUGUUUAUUAAUACAAUCUAUCCUGAACAUAUUUCUAGUAAUUCUUCAUGACAGUAAGGCGGCAUAAAAGAGAGGGGUUAAUGAGCUACAAGUUUCUUUGCAAUGUAGAAAUGCAUUCUAGGAGUUUUGUCAAUUUUAAGUACAGUCAAAUUACCAAUAUUAUGUACUUGGUCUUUCUUUUCCUUGCUGUGAAAAGGAAGAGCUAAGAACAGUACCAAAAUUCUCUGAAAAUCCUCACAGCAGUGCUACUCUACACUUGCUGCACAUUUUGUUCCCAGCCCAGCAAUAGUAUCACAAUUGAGGUCUUUAUGUUCUACCCCAUAACAAACACUGACAAUUCCUACUCUGGUUCUGACACCAAAUCUCUUGACAUUACUAAAACCAGCAGUGAGCAGAUCUCUGUUUAGCUGCACAGCUCUACUCUCAGCCCCAGGGAAAACCAGUUUAUCCAUUUGGGACAGUGCACACCUGCUGUUAGUUAAUCCUCAGCUGGCAAAUUACAAAAGGGAGAAAAACAAAUAUGCAGGUAUUUAAAAUAAUGUGUUUUCAGCAUGACUCACCUCAUAAACCCCUGGAACCUAAAUGGAUUAGAAGUUUAUAACAGGAGUUUCACCAGGAUGUUGGCUUACUCCUAGGGCUGGCUUCCAAAAUAAAGUUACAGAUCCCAAGGCAUAUUUAAAUUUCAAUAACAUGAACAUACUAACUGCACUCACACUCUAGAGAAAAAAUUCCAAGGCUGUGUCUGAGCAAUAUAAAGGCUGUUUCAUUCAUUUACCACUAAUAUCUAUCUUGUUCCAUUAUAAAACACUGGAAGAAAGCCUUAUGCAUAUAGAUAAUGUGUAUUUCUUUCCCUCCAUCGUGCAUAGCUCGCUUGCCAUCUAGUGGGCACAGCACGUGAAUUAAAGCACAGCUACACUCGGCGACAAAUGAGCAGUCACAAAAUGUGUGGGAAUAACAGCUUUGAAUUAAAUAUUUCAACUAGCAGCAGAAAAUUACUAGCAUAGCUAGCAGGACUGCCUAUUAGAUUCCCUUGAAUGCUAAAUUUUGUCCAAGUCCUAGGCAACCUCACUAAAGAAACCUUUUAAAAAACACUUUCUUCCAUACCACACAUUCUUUUUAGUCUCAAAAAACAAACCACAGUGAUGAAAUCAAAUUAUAGUUCAUCUUAUAAUACUGCCAAGAUAAUUUGCAACAGGAGACUAUUGAGACACAAAACACCAGCAUCCAAAGCCUUCAUCUUCAAGACAAAAACAUCAUGUCAGUCUUAGUCUGGAGAAAGAUGAGUUAAUAAAAAGUGUCUUGUACUUUCUUGAUUCAACCUCCCAAAGUACAGUCAAUUAAUUACAUGUUUAAAUUAAGCAUUUGAUUAAGUGUCUUCCUUGACCAGAGAGCUCAGCAUCUUAUUGACCUGUGAGUCUGAGCUACAGCUCAUUUGCUUUGAAACCAGCCCAGGACAAUGAACAGCACGGAACAAAAUGAUUUUGUGCUUGCUUGCAUCAAUUUAAAAAUGGAGGAAAUCCUUUAAAUGAUCCAGAGCUGAAUCAGACAGAGGGUCAGUAACCCUUCAAAGGUUUGUAUAAUUCCUUCAAACAACACUUUGUGUAAGUUUUAGUGUGCUUUUGCAUUAUCAGUUUUAAGGGGAUUAAAAUACUUGAAAAAUUCCUUAUAAAAGUCAACAGAGGACAAAACAUAUCUAUCAAUAAGAAAAGAGAACUUGUACUUAGUACUUCUAAUUUCCUG